UACGAAGGGGGCUAGCGUUGUUCGGAAUUACUGGGCGUAAAGCGUGCGUAGGCGGCUUCUCAAGUCAGGGGUGAAAGCCCAGAGCUCAACUCUGGAAUUGCCUUUGAGACUGAGUGGCUUGAGUACGAGAGAGGUGAGUGGAAUUCCCAGUGUAGAGGUGAAAUUCGUAGAUAUUGGGAAGAACACCGGUGGCGAAGGCGGCUCACUGGCUCGUAACUGACGCUCAUGCACGACAGCGUGGGGAUCAAACAGG
rnacentral:rRNA from 1 species